GAUGAAGAACGCAGCAAAAUGCGAUAAGUAAUGUGAAUUGCAGAAUUCAGUGAAUCAUCGAAUCUUUGAACGCACAUUGCGCCCGCCAGUAUUCUGGCGGGCAUGCCUGUUCGAGCGUCAUUUCAACCCUCAAGCACAGCUUGGUGUUGGGACUCGCGUUAAUUCGCGUUCCCCAAAUUGAUUGGCGGUCACGUCGAGCUUCCAUAGCGUAGUAGUAAAACCCUCGUUACUGGUAAUCGUCGCGGCCACGCCGUUAAACCCCAACUUCUGAACGUUGACCUCGGAUCAGGUAGGAAUACCCGCUGAACUUAAGCAUACAAUAAGCGGAGGA
rnacentral:misc_RNA from 1 species